UGCAACAAACAUUUUAGUAUUCACACCCUGUUACACUUUGAAUAUGUCAAAUAAAGCUUUACUUUUGAUGCUCACACAAAAAAGCAAAUGUUUGUUCAAUUUAAAAACAGGGAAACCAAAUGAAGAGUCACCUGCCGCCCCAUCCGGUUGCAUAAUGAUGGCCGCUCAGUUUCUGCUAAUCCCCCUGCUCCUUCUUGCGCUGCUGAUUUUACUGAUGUGGAAGAAAGGGACAUUCAGGCGAUGGAAAUCUCCACAGAGCACAACUGAGCAGCAUUGUCUAGAUUUGGCUAACACAGGACUGCCUGCACAUGGACGAUCACUUGAGGCAACAAGUGAAGAGCCUGCUGUGGACAGGACUGAUACGGGGAUGUGUGACAGACAACAAAAUCUCAAUCAAGGAGAGGACAUGGGCCCCACUGAAUGGAGUGAUAAUUCUGCCGAUGAUUCUGACGACUAUGUCAACGAUACCUAUCAGGAAAUUGGCUAAUACCAGGAUAUAUGCAAGAUGAGACGGAGCCCCUGAUGAAGGAGCCGCAAGACCUUAUGCCACAGUGUCGAAGAAAAGAAAGAAAAAGAAACCAGAGCCACUGUAUUCAAUUGUUCUUCAGUAGUUUUUGUUUCUAUUCUGAAAAUGCAGUGUAACAGUUUGUUAUCAUGUUAUUUGAAAGCUCCUUGAUCAAUGCGAACUUUGUUGUGUAAUGAUUUGCCAUGAUUUCUCAUUUUCACCACCCGAACAUAUGAAUGUGUGAAUACGCAAUAAAUCAUACAAGUGCAAUUUACA
rnacentral:lncRNA from 1 species